GUGAGGAAUAUUGGUCAAUGGGCGCAAGCCUGAACCAGCCAUGCCGCGUGCAGGAAGACGGUCCUAUGGAUUGUAAACUGCUUUUAUUUGGGAAUAAACCUCCUUACGUGUAGGGAGCUGAAGGUACCAAAUGAAUAAGCACCGGCUAACUCCGUGCCAGCAGCCGCGGUAAUACGGAGGGUGCAAGCGUUAUCCGGAAUCAUUGGGUUUAAAGGGUCCGCAGGCGGUCAUAUAAGUCAGUGGUGAAAGCCUACAGCACAACUGUAGAACUGCCAUUGAUACUGUAUGACUUGAAUUCGAUCGAAGUGGGCGGAAUGUGACAUGUAGCGGUGAAAUGCUUAGAUAUGUCACAGAACACCGAUAGCGAAGGCAGCUCACUAGGUCUGGAUUGACGCUCAGGGACGAAAGCGUGGGGAGCAAACAGGAUUAGAUACCCGGGUAGUCC
rnacentral:rRNA from 1 species